CCCUCCUUCCACCAGAAACAUCUUUCUCGUUACUUUCUCUUUCCUUCUCUCUCUCAAAAAAAAAAAAAAAAAAAAAAGGGCCCCCCCGCCACUAGCCCGCUACCUUCGUGCCAAAUUCCGCCACGCGCCGGCAGCCCAAGAAGCCCACUGGCUGAAAUCGCUGGAUCCGAAGUUUCGUCGCCCGUCGCCUCAUCGUUUGCCGGUAAAAGUUUUGAAGCUGUUUUCUUCAACGUCGGAUUCCGGUACCAUCCGGCCUCCAUUUCGCCAGCGAGCUACGCCAUUGCGUUAUUCUCAUUGUGAGGAACAAAACCAUGUAGCCACUGCUCCGAUCGUCGCCAUAAAGAUUCCGGUGUGCCGUCGCCACCAAGUUUAGGGUUUUCGGGUCUUUUCCAGCGUUCCUCGCCUUUUGAACUUCAAUUUAGCACCCACCCCGCGGUCCUCCAUCCUGGUCAACAUCGGUCAAGGCCGGUCAACGGUGGGUUUAAUCGGCCAAUGACGGACCCGACAGUCUGAUGUCGAGAAGUUUCCUCUCCAACCAAAUUUUGACGUACCGAAUGCGUUCUCGACAUUCAAAUUGCUAGAUAGGACUUCGAGACUUGAGAUUGGAGAUCAAAGUUUCACGCUUCUUGUUUUGGACUCGGAUUCGGAGAAGAUGAUUGGCAGUGUUGAGGCAUGCUCGGGACUCUAUCUCCUCAUAGGCGAUCACUUUGUGGAAAACAAGCUUGCGAAGCAGUCUUCUCAAGUUAGUCUCACAAUAGUUGUGUUUCUAUUUCUUCAAAUAAGGCUUAGGCAGCUCAGGGACAUUGGGGAAAUGUGGCAGUUCCGGAAGCUUGGGGAGUUCGAGUUUUGGCAGCU